rnacentral:rRNA from 1 species
AGCGAACGCUGGCGGCAUGCUUAACACAUGCAAGUCGCGCGGGUGGUUUCGGCCAUCAGCGGCGGACGGGUGAGUAUCGCGUAGGAAUGUAUCCCGAGGUGGGGGACAACCCUGGGAAACUGGGGCUAAUACCGCAUGGGGCCUGUGGGUCAAAGCCUUAGGGCGCCUUGGGAGCAGCCUGCGUCCGAUUAGGUAGUUGGUGCGGUAAAGGCCUACCAAGCCUGCGAUCGGUAGCUGGUCUGAGAGGACGAUCAGCCACACUGGAACUGAGACACGGCCCAGACUGGUACAGGAGGCAGCAGUAGGGAAUAUGCCGAAAUGGGCGAAAGUCUGACGGAGCAAUGCCGCGUGAGUUAUGAAGGUCUUCGGAGCGGAAAGAUGUGGUAUGAGGGAAGAACAAAUGUGUAAGUAACUAUGGACGUCGUGACGGUAACUAAGGAGAAAGCCACGGCUAACUACGUG